AACGCACCUUGCACUGUUGGAGUCUAUCCAACAGUAUACCUGUUUGAGUAUCAUUUAACCUUCUCCAAGCAAUUGGGAUUUGAGGCUUCGACUGCUUGGGCGGCCGUGCCUUUAAAUGUAUCGAGGGCAGCAGGAACGAGAUUGCUUGUUUCUCAGUGAGGAUGUUUACAUUCGUGUAAAAUAAUCGCGAGGAAGCGGAGUAGCUCCCCUGGAUGCCUGCUAACCGCUGAGGCUUCGUCAGCUCUUUAGUGAGUGAGCGGAGCGCAGCUGCACAAUUGUGAUCUCAAAUCAGGCAAGACUACCCGCCGAACUUAA
rnacentral:misc_RNA from 1 species